AAACCAUGCAUCAGCCAUUUUUUGAUUAACUUGUUGAAUCGCUCCCAUACUUUAUAUAAUGUUUCGUCCUCAGAUUGCUAAAAGACGUAAUAUCAUUCCUCAGUUU
rfam:Gossypium arboreum cultivar AKA8401 contig_61307_1, whole genome shotgun sequence.